AUGGAAGAAGAAAUUGAUGAAUCCGUGAGCUCAUUGGAUGAAAAGGAUGAGGAGGAGAGCGAAGAACAAAAGAAGGAAGAGCGGAUUGAUCACCCGUGCCCACCUUCUAAUGAGAGUAACUCUUCAACUCAUACAUUGUUUAAUUCCCCUUCGUGCUUACCGAAGGAUGAUUGCUAUGAUGACUAUUAUGAUCCCGUUGAUGCUCUUGAAAUAUCCCUUUUUGAUGAUGCUUGCUAUGCUUGUGGCCAAGAUGCCAAUAUGAAUUAUGCUUAUGGAGAUAAACUUGCUAUAGUUCCUUAUGUUAAACAUGAAAUUGUUGCUAUUGCACCCAUGCAUGAUAGUCCUAUUAUCUUUUUAAAUUCUCCCGACUACACUAUAUCGGAGAAGUUUGCCCUUAUUAAGGAUUAUAUUGAUGGGUUGCCUUUUACCGUUGCACACGAUGAAUUUGAUAGAUAUAAUAUGCAUGUGCUUGCUGCUCCUACUUGCAAUUAUUAUGAGAGAGGAACUAUAUCUCAACCUCUCUAUGUUUCCCACACGAUAAAAUUGCAAGAAACUGUUUAUACUAUGCAUUGGCCUUUACUAUGUGUGCAUGAAUUGUUCUUUUAUGACAUGCCGAUGCAUAGGAAGAGAGUUAGACUUCGUCAUUGCAUGAUAUAUGUUGCUUUGUGCUCACUACUAAAUUACAAAUCAUUGUUAAUUAAAAUUGGCUUUGAUAUACCUUGGGAUCCGGGUGGAUUCACUACUUGA
rnacentral:rRNA from 1 species